GACGAACGCUGGCGGCGUGCUUAACACAUGCAAGUCGAACGAAGAGCGAUGGAAGUUGCUUCUAUCAAUCUUAGUGGCGAACGGGUGAGUAACGCGUAAUCAACCUGCCCUUCAGAGGGGGACAACAGUUGGAAACGACUGCUAAUACCGCAUACGAUCUAAUCUCGGCAUCGAGGAUAGAUGAAAGGUGGCCUCUACAUGUAAGCUAUCACUGAAGGAGGGGAUUGCGUCUGAUUAGCUAGUUGGAGGGGUAACGGCCCACCAAGGCGAUGAUCAGUAGCCGGUCUGAGAGGAUGAACGGCCACAUUGGGACUGAGACACGGCCCAGACUCCUACGGGAGGCAGCAGUGGGGAAUCUUCCGCAAUGGACGAAAGUCUGACGGAGCAACGCCGCGUGAGUGAUGACGGCCUUCGGGUUGUAAAGCUCUGUUAAUCGGGACGAAAGGCCUUCUUGCGAAUAGUGAGAAGGAUUGACGGUACCGGAAUAGAAAGCCACGGCUAACUACGUG
rnacentral:rRNA from 1 species